CAGUCUCCUCAGGCUGCCUCCUCAAAAUGAUGCUGCCAGUUAGGCUGUUGGUGCUAUUGUUCUGGAUUCCUGCUUCCAGCAGUGAUGUUGUGAUGACACAAACUCCACUCUCCCUGCCUGUCAGUCUUGGAGAUCAAGCCUCUAUCUCCUGCAGGUCUAGUCAGAGCAUUGUGCACAGUAAUGGAAACACCUAUUUAGAAUGGUACCUGCAGAAGCCAGGCCAGUCUCCACAGCCCCUGAUCUACAAGGUUUCAAACAGAUAUUCUGGGGUCCCAGAAAGGUUCAGUGGCAGUGGGUCAAGGACAGAUUUCACACUCAAGAUCAGCAGAGUGGAGCCUGAGGAUUUGGGAGUUUAUUACUGCUUCCAAGGUACACAUCUUCCUCCCACAGUGAUACAGACCCUAACAAAAACAGUCAUGUUUUGGGUGUCCUAG